CCUACGGGUGGCAGCAGUGGGGAAUAUUGCACAAUGGGCGCAAGCCUGAUGCAGCGACGCCGCGUGAGGGAUGACGGCCUUCGGGUUGUAAACCUCUGUUAGCAUCGAAGAAGCGAAAGUGACGGUAGGUGCAGAGAAAGCGCCGGCUAACUACGUGCCAGCAGCCGCGGUAAUACGUAGGGCGCGAGCGUUGUCCGGAAUUAUUGGGCGUAAAGAGCUUGUAGGCGGUUGGUCGCGUCUGCUGUGAAAGGCCGGGGCUUAACUCCGGUUUUGCAGUGGGUACGGGCUAACUAGAGUGCAGUAGGGGAGACUGGAAUUCCUGGUGUAGCGGUGGAAUGCACAGAUAUCAGGAGGAACACCGAUGGCGAAGGCAGGUCUCUGGGCUGUAACUGACGCUGAGAAGCGAAAGCAUGGGGAGCGAACAGGAUUAGAUACCCUUGUAGUC
rnacentral:rRNA from 1 species